AAGAUUGUACUUUCAGGGAUCAUUUCUGUAGUUCAUUACCAGAGAUGUUUCUCUGAAUGUGUGGAGCACUGGAAAAAUCAGUAUUUUUUUAAAAGAAGAAAAAAAUAUAUGU
ensembl:snoRNA U3 Small nucleolar RNA U3